GGACCAAGAAGUCUAGAAUAUGCGCGAGUCAAAGGGUUGGCUAAACCCCAAGGCGAAACGAAAGUGAAAACGAUUUUUUCUUCAUAGGGCCGAUCCGGUUCGGGGUGCGUUAGCGGGGAGUCUUUAUCCCCCUUCGCGGUCGUUCCCCUUCUUCUUCGGCAUCCUUUUCGCUGCUGCUGCUGCGCGCGUUUCGUGCGCGCGCUAGUAAGCGGGCGGGUAGGCGUGUCGUCGUGGUCGGGGCGCCGCGGAGGGUGGCUCCCUACCUUUCCCCUCGAUUCGUCUUCCAUAAAGUAUGAGAACGGCGCAGGCUCGGGGCUCGCAGGCGACCUCCCUGCCGCUAAGGCUUAACCGUUCGCAUCCUUCGUUCGGCGCGCUCGCAUCAUCGGUUGGUUCGUCGACGCUUCGUCGUCGUCGUCGCCUCGGCGUCGGCGUCAGCGUGGCUGAGGCCCCAGCCGUAACGUAAAAGCGUUCGUUCGAGGUCGUCGGUUCGCUGGCUAGGGACGAGCGGCGGGUUCUUUGAGCGCAUAUUUUAGUACCCGAAAGAUGGUGAUCUAUGCUUGGCCAGGAUGAAGCCAGAGGAAACUCUGGUGGAGGUCCGUAGCGAUUCUGACGUGCAAAUCGAUCGUCGGAGCUGUGCAUAGGGGCGAAAGACCUAUCGAACCAUCU
rnacentral:rRNA from 1 species